UACGUAGGGUGCAAGCGUUGUCCGGAAUUAUUGGGCGUAAAGGGCUCGUAGGCGGUCCAUCGCGUCGGGAGUGAAAAGCUGGGGCUUAACCUCAGUCCUGCUUCCGAUACGGGUGGACUAGAGGUAGGUAGGGGAGAACGGAAUUCCUGGUGUAGCGGUGAAAUGCGCAGAUAUCAGGAAGAACACCAAUGGCGAAGGCAGCUCUCUGGGACGGUACUGACGCUGAGACGCGAAAGCGUGGGGAGCGAACAGG
rnacentral:rRNA from 1 species